GAUGAACGCUGGCGGCGUGCCUAAUACAUGCAAGUCGAGCGAACAGACGAGGAGCUUGCUCCUCUGACGUUAGCGGCGGACGGGUGAGUAACACGUGGAUAACCUACCUAUAAGACUGGGAUAACUUCGGGAAACCGGAGCUAAUACCGGAUAAUAUAUUGAACCGCAUGGUUCAAUAGUGAAAGACGGUUUUGCUGUCACUUAUAGAUGGAUCCGCGCCGCAUUAGCUAGUUGGUAAGGUAACGGCUUACCAAGGCAACGAUGCGUAGCCGACCUGAGAGGGUGAUCGGCCACACUGGAACUGAGACACGGUCCAGACUCCUACGGGAGGCAGCAGUAGGGAAUCUGCCGCAAAGGGCGAAAGCCUGACGGAGCAACGCCGCGCGAGUGAUGAAGGUCUUCGGAUCGUAAAACUCUGUUAUUAGGGAAGAACAAAUGUGUAAGUAACUAUGCACGUCUUGACGGUACCUAAUCAGAAAGCCACGGCUAACUACGUG
rnacentral:rRNA from 1 species